rnacentral:rRNA from 1 species
UACGUAGGGACCAAGCGUUGUCCGGAAUCAUUGGGCGUAAAGAGCGUGUAGGCGGCUUGUUAAGUCUUGCGUGAAAUCUCGGGGCUCAACCCCGAGCGGUCGCGAGAAACUGGCAGGCUAGAGUGCGGGAGAGGAGAGUGGAAUUCCUGGUGUAGCGGUGAAAUGCGCAGAUAUCAGGAAGAACACCCGUGGCGAAGGCGGCUCUCUGGAACGCAACUGACGCUGAGACGCGAAAGCGUGGGGAGCAAACAGG